UACGUAGGGUGCAAGCGUUGUCCGGAAUUAUUGGGCGUAAAGAGCUUGUAGGCGGUUUGUCGCGUCUGCUGUGAAAUUUCGGGGCUUAACCCCGAGCCUGCAGUGGAUACGGGCAGACUAGAGGUAGGUAGGGGAGAAUGGAAUUCCCGGUGUAGCGGUGAAAUGCGCAGAUAUCAGGAAGAACACCUAUGGCGAAGGCAGCUCUCUGGGACGGUACUGACGCUGAGACGCGAAAGCGUGGGGAGCGAACAGG
rnacentral:rRNA from 1 species